rnacentral:lncRNA from 1 species
AACGUUACUCCAUUUUUGAACUUAAAGUGAUAAAGAAACUGGAAAGGAUUGAAUUAUUUCUUCUUCUAUUAGUUACAUCAAAGAGCUAAGGGGAUAAGUCAGAAGAAGGAAGAUUGAAAACCAGGACCAAGCCUUAAGCUUUGUUUGUUUCCCUAACUUUGUCCAGACCCGUCUCUGUUCGCCCCUCUAUAUAUUUUCGUAUGUUUCAUCCUUUGCUUCAGCCUGUGCAUGUGUUGUGGUAAGAUUUGGAUGGUGAGGAGUUGAAGCAUAGAUGGAGCUUGUUUUUGAAGUUAGCGGCUGAGAGGGGUGGUCCAGCAAUGGAUCUUGUAUGCUAGGAGAAAGGCUUGCGGCUCUUGGUUGAGUGGAGUUCUCUAGAGUUCAGCUAAGGUUUUAGGUCGAGCUUCAUGAAGAAGAAGGUUUCGUCGGGGUGAUUGGCAGCAUGGUGGUGGCUACUGGAGAAGGGUUGGCGGCUGAAGGUGUCGUUGUCUAGGGUUCAACCUAUGGUCGAAGAAGAAGAUGGGCAUCCAUGGAGUUCUAGGGUUUUCA